rnacentral:rRNA from 1 species
GCCAUGCCGCGUGUGUGAGAAGGCCUUCGGGUUGUAAAGCACUUUCAGUCGUGAGGAAGGUAGUGUAGUUAAUAGCUGCAUUAUUUGACGUUAGCGACAGAAGAAGCACCGGCUAACUCCGUGCCAGCAGCCGCGGUAAUACGGAGGGUGCGAGCGUUAAUCGGAAUUACUGGGCGUAAAGCGCAUGCAGGUGGUUUGUUAAGUCAGAUGUGAAAGCCCGGGGCUCAACCUCGGAAUUGCAUUUGAAACUGGCAGACUAGAGUACUGUAGAGGGGGGUAGAAUUUCAGGUGUAGCGGUGAAAUGCGUAGAGAUCUGAAGGAAUACCGGUGGCGAAGGCGGCCCCCUGGACAGAUACUGACACUCAGAUGCGAAAGCGUGGGGAGCAAACAGGAUUAGAUACCCCAGUA